rnacentral:lncRNA from 1 species
AAUUGAUAAAUUCUACUGCGAGUGUAUCAUAUGUAUCGGAAUCAUACCUUUGAAAUGCUUCAUCUAAUUACACAAUGUCUCCUUGAUUUAAACUAUCUCCGUAUAUAAGUUCUUUUUCGAUAGUUGUUAUGCACAAAGGAUACAUUCCAAAUUCUCUGUUCUCUUUUUUCAAUUCUACAUACACUCUGUAACCCAUAUCAUUGUGUGUUUUCAUUGGUGUGCGAUUCCCUUCUACAGUGUAUUGUAUUUUAAUGGUCUUUGAGCUCAAAUCUAUACCAACUUGACUAGAAAUUGAAGCAACUAGAUCAUUAAAGGAGGCAUACUCCAUAAUAAGUAUUCGCUCAAUUGAAAAGUCGAUGUAAUUGCCCUCAUCGUUCCACUUACCAGAAUGAUGCAACAAAAGUAUUAAAUUUGCCAUAUGAUAGAGGAGUUAUAUCUUCUGUUGUAUAUAAUUUGUAUCAACCGAAAAGAAGGAGAAGAGACGGCAGAAUAUCGAAAAACAGAGCUUUGUUUUUUUGCUUUUUCACGUUUCUGGGUUUCUUUCUUUGACAAGAAUACAACUUAAUGAGGUAUCUUUCAAGUUUGUUGAGUAAAAUUAGGAAAAUAUAAUUUGAUUAAAUUUCCUUCCGUUUUUAAAAUUUAAAACCUUCAAUCUGUUGCGCAGAUACGUUACUGUAUUUAACUUUAAUGGGGUUUGAAUACAGUUAAAUACAUAUCAAAAUUAGCUGGCAUUCCUGUUUUAUCGCAUAUUUUUUUGGUUGUAUUAUUAAAUAAAACAGCUUAAAUACAUGAAAUACAUUGUAUAUUUUGAUAAAAGAUAUCUGUAACACGUAAC